rfam:Agrilus planipennis Contig71961, whole genome shotgun sequence.
GCAAUUCUUCAGUGGACGGGUCUGGUCUAGUGCAUGUAAUUUUUGAACGUGACUAGAUCCAUACUCGUCUAUUGAAGAGUUUC